rnacentral:rRNA from 1 species
UACGUAGGGUGCGAGCGUUAAUCGGAAUUACUGGGCGUAAAGCGUGCGCAGGCGGUUCGUUGUGUCGGUGGUGAAAGCCCCGGGCUUAACCUGGGAAUGGCCAUGGAAACUGGCGAACUGGAGUGUGGCAGAGGGGGGUGGAAUUCCGCGUGUAGCAGUGGAAUGCGUAGAGAUCCGGAAGAACACCGGUGGCGAAGGCGGUCUGCUGGGGUGAGGCUGACACUGAGGCGCGACAGCGUGGGGAGCAAACAGG